UUGAACGCUGGCGGCAUGCCUUACACAUGCAAGUCGAACGGCAGCGCGGACUUCGGUCUGGCGGCGAGUGGCGAACGGGUGAGUAAUACAUCGGAACGUACCCUGUUGUGGGGGAUAACUAGUCGAAAGAUUAGCUAAUACCGCAUACGACCUGAGGGUGAAAGUGGGGGACCGCAAGGCCUCACGCAGCAGGAGCGGCCGAUGUCUGAUUAGCUAGUUGGUGGGGUAAAGGCCCACCAAGGCGACGAUCAGUAGCUAGUCUGAGAGGACGAUCAGCCACACUGGGACUGAGACAUGGCCCAGACUCCUACGGGAGGCAGCAGUGGGGAAUUUUGGACAAUGGGGGCAACCCUGAUCCAGCAAUGCCGCGUGUGUGAAGAAGGCCUUCGGGUUGUAAAGCACUUUUGUCCGGAAAGAAAUCGCGCUGGUUAAUACCUGGCGUGGAUGACGGUACCGGAAGAAUAAGCACCGGCUAACUACGUG
rnacentral:rRNA from 1 species